rnacentral:lncRNA from 1 species
AGCAAAUGGGACUGUGUUCUGAUGACACAAGAACAAAGAAAUAAGACAUUGGGACAAAAAAGAGACACAGCUGAGCACAGUGGCCCAUACCUGUAAUCCCAGUGCUCAGGAGGCUGAGGCAGGAGGUCUACAAAUGCAAGGCCAGCCUCAUCAACUUUACAAGACCCAGACUCAAAAUUUAAAAAAAGAAAGAAAAGGGCCGUGCUGGGGAUGCAGUUCAGUGGCUGAGUGCCCCUGAGUGCCAUCCCCAAUACAAAAAAAAAAAAAGAAAAAAAUUGCAGGAGUGUGGGGCGUGGCCACAGGCAUCUCAGCAAGAGGAAUCUCAAGUGACCAAUAAACAUAUAAAAAGUUGCUCAACCUCCUAGUCUUCAUUGAGGAAUGCAAAUAAAACCCAGGAAAAGAUGCAAAUUCGACCCUAUCUGAUGAGCAAAAAAAGUCUGAUAAAAAAAAAAAAUUCUUGCAAGUGCUGGCACACAGAAGAACACCCUACACUGCCAGUGGGGGUGGGAAUGGAUGCAGCCACCUGGGAGGUCAGCCUAGCACUCUUGGGCCCAUUUCAACCUGUAAUCUGUCUCCUUGGGACACUCCUUACAGCAGUUCUCACAAGUGCGCCACAGAAAACAUUUUUAAAUGGUUCAGAGCAACAAUCUUUAUAAAACCUAAAACUGGAAACAUCCCCCAAAUCCAGUACUGUGUUCUGAGGCGGGCAAGUAAAGCCUAGAAUAGUCACAGACUGGGUUAUUAUACAAAACUGGAAUGGAGGCCUGGGGUGGUGGCUCAGUGGCAGAGCGCUUGCGUAGCAUGGGUGAGGCACUGGGUUCAAAUCUCAGCACUGCGUAUAAAUAAUAAAUGAAAUAAAGGUCCAUCAACAACUAACAACAACAACAAAACUGAAAUGGAAUGAGCUACAGUGCACAGAACACCUCCAAUAAUCUAUCGGCAUAAUGUUGAACAAAGGGAACAAGAAUGCCAACCGCGUAAUCCCACUUCUACAGUUCAGAACCAGGAAGAGCUACACAUCAUGUUCUAUGAGGAUGGUGGAACUAAAGAGAAACUAAGGAAAAAAUCACUGCAGAGAUCAGAAUAGUGAUUUUGGGCAGAGAGGUGAGCACCAACACGCAGAGGAACCUGCAGUCCUGGCCCUGUGCCCUGACUUAAUUUGGAAGCUGACUGUGUGGGCUUUAGAAUUCUUCUUCUUGUCAAAAUACUUAUAUGCUAUACACAUUUAUGUAUAUAUUAUGUAUCAUAUUGCAACAAUUCAAUUAAAUCUAAAAGAUAUAGUUCUGAAACUGUAGUCAGGAACCAGACACUACAAGGCACUUUGGGUAUAUUGAAGGAUUUUUUUUUUUAAGAGAGAGAGAGAGAGAGAAUUUUAAUAUUUAUUUUUUAGUUAUCGGCGGACACAACAUCUUUUGUUUGUACGUGGUGCUGAGGAUCAAACCCGGGCCGCACGCAUGCCAGGCAAGCGCGCUACCACUUGAGCCACAUCCCCAGCCCUAUGUUGAAGGAUUUUUGUCAUUAUCUAAAAGUAUCAGGUAGUUGAGAGAAAACUGGAGCUGAAAUACUAAGAUUAACUAGGGAAGAUUGCCCCUAAAUAAUGAUAAUGAACUUGCUGUUGCUGAGUCUGGCUUGAACUCGUGAUCCUCCUGCCUCAGCCUCCUGAGCCACUGGGAUCACAAUUGUGCACCACCAUGCCCGGACUAGAAAAAGGAUUUUGUGAGCAAGAAAGAAGUAGGGAAGUGGACAUUGGAUGAGUGACUAACAGGUUGUCCUCACCAGCUACAAUCAAACUGGAAGGCUGAGUAAAACCAUUUUGCAGACAAGCUGGAUCUCUGAAAAUGUCCCUCCUGAGCACCCUUUGUUAGAGAUCAUUUGAGAAUCACCUUCAGGGCUGGGAAACAGCUGAGUUGGUAGAGUGCUAUGCCUAACAUGCACAAAGCCCUGGGUUCAAUCCCUAGCACCACCCAAAAAAAAAAAGAAUCACCUUCGACAAAAUGGAACUGUAGCCCUGUGGGGUGUGGUGGCAUUCCCUGUAAUCCCAGUGGCUUGGAAGGCUGAGGCAGGAGGAUCCUUAGUCCAAGCCAGCCUCAGCAACUUGGUGAGGCUCUGAGUAACUUAGUGAGACUCUAUCUUCAAAUUAAAAAUUUAAAAAGGGCUGGGGAUGUGGCUCAGUGGUUAAGUGAAUCUGGGUUCAAUCCCUGAUUCCAAAAAAGAAGAAAAUGGGCUGCGGUUGUGGCUCCGUGGUAGAGCACUCGCCUAGCAUAUGUGACAC